rnacentral:rRNA from 1 species
GCAGAGCACUCCUACGGGAGGCAGCAGUGGGGAAUAUGCACAAUGGGGGAAACCCUGAUGCAGCCAUGCCGCGUGUGUGAAGAAGGCCUUCGGGUUGUAAAGCACUUUCAGUAGGGAGGAAGGUAGUGUAGUUAACACCUGCAUUAUUUGACGUUACCUACAGAAGAAGCACCGGCUAACUCCGUGCCAGCAGCCGCGGUAAUACGGAGGGUGCGAGCGUUAAUCGGAAUUACUGGGCGUAAAGCGCAUGCAGGCGGCCUGUUAAGUCAGAUGUGAAAGCCCCGGGGCUUAAACCUCGGAAUUGCAUUUGAAACUGGCAGGCUAGAGUCUUGUAGAGGGGGUAGAAUUUCAGGUGUAGCGGUGAAAUGCGUAGAGAUCUGAAGGAAUACCAGUGGCGAAGGCGGCCCCCUGGACAAAGACUGACGCUCAGAUGCGAAAGCGUGGGGAGCAAACAGGAUUAGAUACCCUGGUAG